GAUGAACGCUAGCGGCAGGCUUAACACAUGCAAGUCGAGGGGCAGCGCGGGAUAGCAAUAUCCUGGCGGCGACCGGCGGAAGGGUGCGUAACGCGUGAGCGACAUGCCCGUUGCCCGGGGACAACCGGUGGAAACGCCGACUAAUCCCCGAUGGGAUAUUGUGCCGCAUGGCACGAUAUUGAAAGUUACGGCGGCGACGGAUUGUCUCGCGUCCGAUUAUCUUGUUGGCGGGGUAACGGCCCACCAAGGCUGCGAUCGGUAGGGGUUCUGAGAGGAAGGCCCCCCACAAAGGGACUGAGACACGGCCCAUACUCCUACGGGAGGCAGCAGUGAGGAAUAUUGGUCAAUGGGCGGAAGCCUGAACCAGCCAUGCCGCGUGCGGGAAGGAGGCCCUAUGGGCUGUGAACCGCUUUUGCCUGGGGGCAAUAAGGGCGUCGCGCACGUCCGAUGAGAGUACCAGGCGAAUAAGCAUCGGCUAACUCCGUG
rnacentral:rRNA from 1 species